UUUCCCCCUUGGAAUCACCCACCUUCCCGAGUGGAGAAGGUCCCUUCUGCACACUGAGCACAAGCAUAGCAGCAAAUGGGCUUUCCUUCUAGGACCACCUUGGCAUAUCCAGGUCGACAUCUUUCUGUACACCUGGAACGAGGUCACGAGACUUAUUGGGAGACAUCACCCAGUUCAUAAUAUCGAAGUCUCCUGGUAGCUCCCAGUUCUCAUCCAAGCACAGCCUGCCCCUGGAAGUAUUCAGACACCGGAUUUCUCUCAAGAAAGGGUGAAGCUGGAAUGGCAGGGGAAAGCACCAGCAUUAAGAAACUGGGAAGCUACAACAGGCAAUUAAUCAAGCCAAAAUGGGGAAAACACCAGGGCCAGGUCUAUCCCCAGUCAAGAUCAGCAUCUGUGUGGACUGCAGGUUGCAAA